GGUGGCCUAGUGGUUAGAGCAUCUGCCUUGAAUGCAGGAGGUUAUGGGUUUGAACCCUUGCUGAAUCA